CCUGGCUUUCUGAGUAGGAUGCUUCAAUAAAAGGGGCUGCUUCAAGAAAAGGUUAAUUCCACAGAAGGGAAGCUUCGCUGAUAUAAUAUUAAAAUGAUUUUCAGGCUAAAACAUCUGCUUAAAGGUACUUUAAUCUGUACUAUUGCCACUUAAAAACAACAAAGCAGAAAUCCAGCCUUGCUUUUUUUUUUUUUAUGCUAGCAAAAAAUGUGUUUCUUAUUUGCCUGCAGUUCCACUAGUCUUUCAGUGGAACUUCCAGUUUAGACUCAGCGCGAGAGCUCUUUCAGGGUAGAUGCUGCGUGCUUUCCAUAAAUAACAUUCUUUUCAGCGUGCAGUCAUCAUAUCCUCUUUAUCCACUAUCUCCCUUUCCAUAUGUUAGUCCUCGGACUGAUGCUUUCAGGAGUCCCUUUUCUUGUGUUGGACUUCUUUUUGCACGACUGUAAGAUUUGCCCUUAAGGUAAUAAUUCCAGUGUGUUCUUAGAAUCGUAAACUUGGAAAUUAUAUAAGGCUGCCGGACAGAAAUAAAAGUUUUGCAUAUGCAGAAGUAUGCAAAAUUAAAAGAAGCUUUGCAUAAAGCAAUUUCAGUGAACUUGAGAACAAACAGCAAAAUAUCUUGUGCAUUGCUGUUGGCUGGGGUGACUCCAGUGAAGUGGCACGCUGCUCACAGGCUCCAGAUUUCUUCAUUGCUGUCUAAUGAGAAAUGGGGGGACAAAGAAAUCUCUACUUUCUCAGAUGGAAACAAUCAGGAGACAGCUGCACAUCCAGAUACGUUAGCCUAUGAAUACAUAUGUGAGAAAAUAUGUGCUGUCAGCAGUUCUGUUUAUCUGCCAUUUCGGGGUAGAUUUUCAAAUGCACAAAGGCCAGAUGGGCUGGAAGUAACUCCAGCUUCAGCAGGGAUCCUCUGCUCCCUGAGUUUUAGAUCACCUGGAAAAUAAUCCCCUAGUGUUAGCUUGUUCUGUGCAGAUGUGUUGUAAGGAUUUACUCGCAUGGGGAUGUUCUCACUAGGAAAACACAAUUCUCUGCUCUUCCUGUGACUGUGGCAUUUUUUUUGUCACGUCAGUAGAGACACUUGUCACAGAAAUGGUCUCACAUUUGUUGUCAGCUGUCUGAUGACAGGAAAAGGGUCAUGUAUCGAUGACAGUUCCUUCAGGCUGGGCAGUGCUUUCUCGGUUCCUUGUUUGUCACUUGCGUGUUGCUGAAGUUUGGUGUCUCCAGCGACUUCUUGCAGGGAAUGAUUAGACUGUUACGUGUUUUCUUGGGAAAAUUAUGAGGCAGCCUGAACUGUUAAUGUUUGUUUCUCUCAGGGCAAUUGCAAGAUGUUGUGUGUGGCCAGGCUGAGGUGUCUGGCCCUCAACAGGUGGGGUUGCCCCAGAACAGUUGCAGCUGACACUGCGUUGAUGUGGAGAUAGCGAGGAAAGCCCUAAGUAUUUUCUAGAUUUCUAAAUGUGCCUGAAUUUCCAGAGGACCCCAGGGGAGCAGUGGUGGAGUUGCUCAGCUGUUGAGCCCUCAGUUGUGCAGAUUGUCUUGUUCCUGAUAAUGCUAAGCCUGAGUGGAAUGCGAGCCUUUGAUUCACAAGUGCCUCUCCUGCCAAAGCCGUCUCUUUGGCGGUGACAGCAGGCAUGUGAAAGUGGACAGGAGGGAGCGAGGAAUGUGUUAAAGGAAAACUGUGUGAAAAUCUCCUGGUGGUUUAACUGGCUGAUAAAGCUAGAGUCUACGGGAUGUGAUCCUACAGCCUGUAGUGAUGAAGUGUUCCACCCUGGGUAAGAGGUUGAAGAACACAUUCUCAAUUUGUUGAAUCUAUUUGGGUUACUAAUAUAUUAAGGGAGAUCAUAUGGCAUCCUACAUCUUGUAGAGGCAUUCUGUGACAUCUGACCUUACGUUUGCUACAUAGAGGCAGGGGAAGUGGCCUCUGUGUAAUCUCACAGAGGCUCCAUGUGAUCUCACAAGUCUAAAUCUUUUCCUGCAGUCCGUUUCAAUAAAAUUGUCAAUGGGGUCUGCAAAGGCAGAAUAAGGAAGAUGUGGAUCGUCAUUAGCACAGGACGAUACCUUAAAAUAAACUAUGAGGAUAAUGCUCUCAGGCAGUUGCUACCUGACAUCUCUGUUAGCAGGAAGGUAGGGUGGUAAAAUCGUCCUUACCAAGUAGAACUUUUGUCCUUGUGCCGUCAAGUACCCGGACAUCAUGGCAGUUGGCAGCUCUCUACAACCUGAGACAGCAAUUGUGCAAUGUUAGGAAGAUUGGCAGAACUGCAGCCCUGUGAUACAGCUCGAUGCUGUGUGUGGUUCACAGAUGCAGAAACCGAAAAAUUCCCUGAAAUUCUCUGCUCCCAAAGUCACGCAGGAAGUGUGAGGCUAAGACUUCUCAUCUAUCACCUUUUGUAUGUCAAGUUGGUUAUGUUCUCUUCUCCUUCCUGCCUUCCCCCCUUUCCUCCCAAUAAAUAAAUCAUCACCCGAAGCCAGUUUUUAUUCUGUGUUCUGGAUAGCUAUGGGGGUUGUUAGUCCGACUGGACCUGUAGGAUCACUGAGGAUAAUCCGAAAUAUCUGUGUGUGUUUUUUUUUUUCCCCCACUGAGAACACAAUUGCUACAUUGAAAGUGUUUGGUGGUAUUGACAUGGAUGUUAAAACAGGGUAAAAAAACUGUGUUCUGUUCUCAUGAAUGCUGUGUGCCACAGAGCUGGCUGGCAGCUGGCUCUGCAUUGCUCUGGAGCUACCCAAACAACCGGCUAAAGUAUCAUGAAAUGCUUAAGGGAUUUUUGAAUGAUUUUAAUUCUAAUAGUAACUAACGUUUACAGCCUUUCUCAAAACACUGAAUCUACUUAAGAGCUUUUAAGGUAGAUUAACGUUAUCCUUGUUCUGUAGGUGUCCUCUUGAGGAUGCUGAAGUAACCUCCCCAGUGGAUCGGCGACAGCGCUGGGAACAGAGGCCAGGGCUUUAUGUAGACAAAAUUCUCUCUGUUGUAACUUGAGUUAAUUGCUAAUUACAAUUAAGUUUAGUAACUCAACUUUACAUUAUCAUGGAGAUGCAAGCUUAAUUGUGAUUUGUCCCUAAUUUUGCAUAAAGCUCUGCUAAAUUGACACUCUGGCUGUUGCAAACCAGUAGGUAACGGAGCUUCUUGAUGCGCCAAUAUGUGUUUACACAGUCGUGUGUUAUUACUUGCCAACCUUGCUAACUACAGAGACAGAAGUUGUGAAAUCAAAUUGCAGUUAAUUGAGUAUUUAAGUGAAGUGUCAGGCUAAAUAUAGCAAGUUCUGUGCAGAACUUUUUGACAGAUUUACUAAGAAUACCAUCUAGCUGCAAAUGAGGAAAAAAAAAAUAAUCACAGUUCUUCUGAGCUGCAAGUGCCAGCAGAGCGAGGAAGAAGACAAGGCAGUCAGCCCAUAUUCCUGACCAUUCGUUUCAAAAAUCACAGUCUGUCAGGUAUGUCUACAUGGUUCAUGCUAGCAAGCAUAAACUCAGAGCACCAGACACAAUCUUGUGCUGCUUAUGCUGCAGGUCGGAUGUGCAUCUCCUCCAGUGUGUCCCCCCAUGAGCCCCUAGCAGGCUCAGUGCCGCUCUGCUUUGGCAGAGCCAGCUGGAGCAAGGUCUCCUACCGCUGCCUGCCUCCUGCUGCUCACCUGCUUUUGACGUUGAAAAGCAGCAGUCAAAAACAUGUGUUGUCCUCUGCUUUGCUUUUGAAUAAAUAAAGGCUAAAUAUUGUUUUAAGGUCUGUGAAAAGCACAACAUAUUUUUCUGAAAAUUCUUUUAAGCUUGGAUACAGAGCUGCCUGGAACCUAUGGGACAUUGGGAAUGCCAGAGUUAUUUAAAUGAAGUUUUAUUCCCUGUGUAGCUUCACUGAAAUCCUGAGAGCUAUGCAAGGAACUCUACUGACAUGAUUUCUGAAAUUAAAUUCCUCUACCCAAGGCACAGCCAGACAGGGAUGUGAUCAAUUCAGGCUGACAUGUGUAGGUUUUAAAUAAGUCUUAACACUUCACAUGUGAAAGAGGAAAGUGUGAAGGGUUUAGACAGAGGAGAGCAGCUUUUCUUUCAGCCUGUUGGGUGUCCCUGCAGGGCAGCAGGGAGGCAGCAAUCUUUUGACAGACCAGGAAAGAAAAGCAUGUGAAUCUAAGUGGAGGAAGACAGGGUGGAAGGCAUGGGGACGAAUGCCUGUAGGCACCAGGCUUGACAGGGAACUGGAAUACUUGCUUGAAUCCGUUUAUAUAUUGGAAAAUUAUUACAGUCCGUUUAAGCCUUCCCCAGGCUUAAAUUUCUGUGUGUGUUUGCAGUUACUGAAAGAAUAUUUUCUGCUGGCAGAGGCAGUGCUGACACUGUCAGUUAUGCUUGAGAGGAGUUCCUACGUGCACCCAUUAAACGCCCCCCUUAACCCUCUGCUAGGAAAUGCCUAAACUUGUCUCUCCACCAUGACACUGUGUGUGUAUAUAUAUUAAAUAAUUAUAUGUAUAUUAUAUAUACUAAAAACAAAACCAAACAAACAAAAAACAACAGCAAAAAGCAUCCUGGUUUGGUCUGCAGUGUGCUAUGGGUUCAUCAGGCAAAUAGCUUCUUAUCAUGCUCUUCAUAUUUGAAUGUUAUCACCUGUCUCACACUAAAUUUGGAGGAAAUUGUUAUUUUUAGUGUUUUCAUCUUUCUAUGAAUUCACAUAGAGGGUCCCUAUGAAUCAGGGCAUGGCACUGCUACAGAAUAGCAUUCAAUACCCAGAAUAUCCUUAAGCUAAACAUCUUUUUCAUCUUUUCAACUACCUGUCUUCUGUUGAUUCAUGCUUAAAGUAGCUAUCUUUUUGGGUUUUUAUCCUUUUUUUUUUUUUUUUUAAUAGUAUUGGACUUGAGCUCUGUAGUGUUACUGGACUACUGGUGUCAUCUAUUGUCGGUACCUUCCCCUGCAGUUUCAUGUGGAAAAAGAAGUCCUGGUGGUAUUGCUACAGCCUUCCAUGCAGCAGAGUGCUCUGCCUGUUGGACUUGUUUAUGUGCAGUUUCUUGUAAGCAGAUGUACAGACAUUUGCCUUCUCCUGCUCGUCCUGCUAUGUGGGAAGAACAUGGAGUUAUGUCAGGAAUUUGUUAAACUUGGCUAACUGUCCGUCGGAGUCCCAAAGUGUGCAGUCAGGUGAAAAAUCUCACUCAAAUCUGUACUCGCACGUUUGGCAUCUUAAUGGAUGCCUGCUGAGCAUACUUAAAAGUAUUUUUUUUUUCACUUGCUCAAAGUUCUGUCGUUUCGUCUGUCUUUCCCAAGUAAUCUUUAAUCAUGAUACAUUUCAAUUCAGGUAAAAUUAAAUUUCUUUGGUAGUAUUAAGUCACCUGCAUAAAUAGGAGGAUUUGACAUUAGUAUCAUUGCAGUUGGAUGAGUGACUGGUGGUUCCAUGCCACAGCCUGCUGUAAAUCAGCCCUUUGGAUGUGCCUUUCGAGUAAAGAGAGGGAGAGAAGUGGCCUUUUUGGCUGAGACCAUAGUAAGAAAAUUUCAGUCCUUCAGGAAUCCUUGGACAGUUUUAGCAACUAAUGAAGAAGAGCAACAAAAAUUCAAUUGGACCUGAUGGUGAACCUUAGCUAAUGGUAUUUCCUACCUAACAAACAGCAUUACAAAGAGCUGCUGCAAACAGCAAGGGAGUUCUCUCAGGCUGUUGAAGCACUAUAUAAUUUGCCCUACAAAAAUUAAUGAAUGAGCGUGUAAGCACUUGGACAGCCACAAGGGGGAACAUUGUCAACGGGAAUAGAUUAAAUAUCCUGGAUCUAAUUUACAAUUUGCACCCUUGUGACCUGAGUAACUGUACUGUGCUUAUUCCUGAUGUAGAGUCUGAUAACAAAGGUCAGAAUGUGACCUGAUAAGACUUAAGAGGACAUUUCUAUUCACCAAGCAAUUUUUUGUUCUUCAGGAGGAUGUGUAUACAUUUUUGUGAUUAGUAGUUUUCUUAAUGUAAAACAUUUUUACGUACUAAUAUUGAAUGUAAGUCUCCUUGUGUAGGAACACAAGGUUGUAAUAGGAAAAACAUAAUCCGAAAUGGAGAUAAAAAGCUUUCUUUUACAUGAGUUGUCUAUGGUGGAAGCUUGUAUGUUUCAUCAAGGUCUGUGGUAGUCAAUCUGACUGCAUGAUAACGAUCCAAAUUAGGCUUUGUGACUGAUUCUGAAAGCAUCUUCUAUAUACAUACAGAGUAGCAGAUGUAUAUUAUGCUGUAUGGUAUAUAAUUUUCAAUACUAAUCCUUUCAGAAUCCUUGUCAUACAGUGUGCAAAAAUGACAUGUUUUCUAAAACUGGUUAAUGUAUUUGUAGGUUGUAUUUUUUUGUACAAGCAUAGCACAGUUUGUUAAAAGAGCUAAUAAAAUUAUGUAAAUAUA